CCUACGGGGGGCAGCAGUGGGGAAUAAUGGGCAAUGGGCGCAAGCCUGACCCAGCAACGCCGCGUGAAGGAAGAAGGCUCUCGGGUUGGAAAAUUCUUGUCUUAGGGACGAAGCAAGUGACGGUACUUGAGGAAUAAGCCACGGCUAACUACGGGCCAGCAGCCGCGGUAAUACGUAGGUGGCAAGCGUUAUCCGUAUUUACUGGGUGUAAAGGGCGUGUAGGCGGGCUUGCAAGUCAGAUGUGAAAACAACGGGCUCAACCUGUGGCCUGCAUUUGAAACUGUAGUUCUUGAGUACUGGAGAGGCAGACGGAAUUCGUGGUGUAGCGGUGAAAUGCGUAGAUAUUAGGAGGAACACCAGUGGCGAAGGCGGUCUGCUGGACAGCAACUGACGCUGAGGCGCGAAAGCGUGGGGAGCAAACAGGAUUAGAUACCCUAGUAGUC
rnacentral:rRNA from 1 species